GUUUCUCUUCUUUCUUUCAUUAUUGUAUCUCAAUUAUUUUUUUUCAUCCGAUCUAUUGCGAUGGCCGGAGUUGCCCUUCUUCAUCCACAACAUAUUCUCAAACCUCAUGUAGGUUAUCGUCAACCUAUGAGAUCACGACGGAAUUCAACUUCUAACCCUCUACCAAAUCCUAACCCUAACCCUAAGAAUAACCGAAGAAAGAGAAGUCCUCAAAAAAAUGGAUCUGCUAACUUCUCCACCUCUCCUCCUAGUUCUAAAAAUCCACAUAUAGUGAUGGGAGAGGUGAAAAUUCUGAAGCGAGGUCAAGUGUUGAAGGAAACCAAACUUGUCACUGGUGAAGAUCUGGUGUUGUCCACUACAGAUCGGCUGGGUCCAGAGCCGGAUAUGGUGCCUAAGAACAUAACGAUUGCUCAUUUCUAUGCUGGAUCGGGUUUCUCCUCUUCGCCGCCACCGAGCUCUUUGCCUGUGCCGGCUUUCUUCAAGAAGGAAACUCAACAUAACCUCCACGCUACAAGCGACUUGAGGCGUAUUCUUAGGAUCGAUCGAUCUGGCCGUGAUUAAUUAUGGAUGUUUCAAUGAUGACAACAACGAUGAAGUCUUAAGUUCGUGUUUUGCUCCCGGCUCGUGAAUCUUCCCUUAUUUUUUCAAGGGGAAGGACGAGUUGGCAAAGUAAUUUAUACUAUUUCCUUGUUUAGGUCCUUUAAUUCUAGCAGAAAAGUAGAUCUAGUUAGGCUGUAGUUUUGGGCUGUAUAGUCUAGUCAUUAGUUUGGGUUUUUCGUUUUAAUUGGCUGCUAUAGUAUUUUAGCGGUCAUUAGGUAGUCGGUAGUGGCCUAGAGCCAUUAACAUAUCCUUCUGUGUUCGAUUUUAUAUGUAGCUUCAGCUGUGCUAUGAGCUUUUAAAUUUAAUAGUAGAAUUUUCUGCUUUUGUUCUGUCCUCGACCCAUAUGGGUCACAGGGGA
rnacentral:misc_RNA from 1 species